UUCAGCAGCAGCACCUACAGUACGGAGGUCACGAUGGGUGCUUACCCCUUCCUGUAGUAAACUUAUGUCUCAGCAAGGCACGCCGUAUACAGUGAUUUUCAGAGUUUCUUUUAGCAUAAAAGAAAAUAAGCCUUUUAAAGCUGCAAUAACUGAGUUGGGUUUUUUGCCACUUGGAGGCAGCAGAUUUCAGCUUUUUUACACAUCCUGACGAUGUUAGCACCAAUUCUGCCUCUGGUUGAUGUACGGCGCUGUGAGAUUGGUCUUUAUCAGGAUUUAAAAUAUUCCAGCUGACUGAUUUCUGCCACUGGAGCAGACCAUCACCACACUCCACAUCAGAGGGCUCAUUCAUCGCUGGAUUUUCCUCUUUUCACCGUAGAGAACUAACAACUUAAUAUACCUUCUGUUAGACAGCAAUGCUAACACUGCAACCAAGAUGGCAUACAGCUGUCCAGACUUCAAAAUAAAGCAACAAACGGCAAAGUGCUAACUGUAUUCUGAAAGACAAUAACAAACAAGCAAACACACACUAAACUCGGCAUUACACCACACACUUUUAACCAUUUCAGGACUUGCCAGCUAAGCUAACAAAGCUAAGUAACCUCGCUGUUCAUUGACUUAACCUUACAAGGCUAAGUAAGCAUACAACUUCAAAGUGUUGUAAGUGUUGGAAUAUGUGUUAGUUUGUUUUUUUAAUCGCUGAGCUGUACUGUUUGAUCUGUUGUAAAGCGCUAUUGGGUAAUGUUAUGUGGUCACUCUCAGUUUAGAGAUUUUAAUUUUCAAAGUGCUUUAUGGAAUAUGUGGAUGGUUAAAUGUUGCAGAAGAGGGAUUUCAACAACCUCUAAAUAAGAAUCCCGAACUCCUUAAACCUUUUCAAGCCAAUGAUUCUGUUGUGUAUAGUUAUUAAUUAGAUUACAAAUAUGCUUUCCUAAUUCAUAACAUGACUUUAUGAAUACUACUUUCCAUAAGACU